GGAGGUCGCUGAGAAGUCUGCUUUAUAGCAGUUAUUGAUUGGUCUGGUAUUGCGUGUUGACAGGGAAGAUAGAUGGAGAUGGGUGCCAAAUGCUUCAGGCCUUUUCAGUGUCAAAUCUGCCUAUAUUUUUUUGCAAUCCCGGUUGAAUUCGAGUUAUUUAGAUUCUGAUUUAGUUUAUGAUUUGCACAAACUGUGGAAGAAUGAUGUUCCGUCAAAAGUGGGAGUAUUUGGCUGGCACUUGCUUCUUGAGAAGCUUCCGACUCGCGCCGCUUUAGCAUCUAAAGGUAUUUUAUCUAAUCC
rnacentral:lncRNA from 1 species